rnacentral:rRNA from 1 species
AACGAACGCUGGCGGCGCGCUUAACACAUGCAAGUCGAACGAGAAGGCGUAGCAAUACGCUUGUAAAGUGGCGAACGGGUGAGGAAUACAUGGGUAACCUACCCUCGAGUGGGGGAUAACCCGCCGAAAGGCGGGCUAAUACCGCGUACGCUUCCGAUCUUGCGGGAUCGGAAGGAAAGCUGUCCCUUGGGGAUGGCGCUCAAGGAUGGGCUCAUGUCCUAUCAGCUUGUUGGUAGGGUAACGGCCUACCAAGGCAUCGACGGGUAGCUGGUCUGAGAGGACGAUCAGCCACACUGGCACUGCGACACGGGGCCAGACUCCUACGGGAGGCAGCAGUGAGGAAUAUUGCGCAAUGGGCGAAAGCCUNACGCAGCGACGCCGCGUGGGGGAUGAAGGUCUUCGGAUUGUAAACCCCUUUCGGGUGGGAAGACGGCCCUAGACAACUAGGGCGGACGGUACCGCCAGAAGCAGCCACGGCUAACUUCGUGCCAGCAGCCGCAGUAAU